UACGUAGGGGGCGAGCGUUGCCCGGAUUCACUGGGCGUAAAGCGCGUGUAGGCGGUCUGUUAAGUCGGGUGUGAAAUCUCCGGGCCCAACCCGGAAAUUGCAUCCGAUACUGGCAGACUUGAGGACGGUAGAGGUUGGUGGAAUAGCCGGUGUACCGGUGAAAUGGGCAGAUAUCGGCUAGAACACCAGUGGCGAAGGCGGCCAACUGGGCCGUUCCUGACGCUGAGACGCGAAAGCCAGGGGAGCGAACCGG
rnacentral:ncRNA from 3 species